ensembl:lncRNA
GCGGGUGGGAGUUUGCACAGGCCACGCUGGGAGGGGAACCACAGGACCUCACGUUGGCACACGAUGGGGAUUGGAAACCUGCCAUUGUACUAUACUGGAUUUUCCUUCAAAAUAAACUACAGUCAGAACAGCUGGAGCAUGUCCUACUGGAUAGUUUCUACACUCUCUUUUCUGCAAAAUCCCUCAGCUUUCCUCACCCUGUACUUACAAAGAGCUGAUAUGACCUGGGGAAAACCCUUAUUUUACCAAACGUCAGUUCACACAUAUCUUAC